rnacentral:rRNA from 1 species
UUACUCUACUACCCUCCUUCUCAUUCGAUAUACGAGUCUCCCUUUACUUGCCUAUGGUUUUAGACGUUUACUGAGAGAAAAUUAGAGUGUUCAAAGCAGGCAUUUGCUUGAAUAUAUUAGCAUGGAAUAAUCAUGUAUGAUUUUCAUGAUGUAUUUGAUUGGUUUGGUUCAUGAGAAUAAGAUUAAAAGGGACAGUUGGGGGUAUUCAUAUUCAAUAGUCAGAGGUGAAAUUCUCGGAUUUAUGGAAGAUGAACAAGUGCGAAAGCAUUUACCAAGGAUGUUUUCAUUAAUCAAGAACGAAAGUUAGGGGAUCGAAGAGGAUUAGAUACCCUCGUAGUCUUAACUAUAAACGAUACCGACUAGAGGUUAGUGAAGGUCAUUGUGUCUUGACUAGUAUC